AGCGAACGUUAGCGGCGGGCUUAACACAUGCAAGUCGAGCGAGAAAGCACCUUCGGGUGUGAGUAGAGCGGCGAACGGGUGAGUAACACGUGGGCAACCUGCCCUCCAGCGGGGGACAACCACUCGAAAGGGUGGCUAAUACCGCAUACGUCAGUUCUGUCUGCGGACGGAAUUGGGAAAGCUAGCAUCCUUCGGGGUGCCGGCACUGGAGGAGGGGCCCGCGUCGCAUCAGCUUGAUGGUGGGGUAACGGCUCACCAUGGCGAAGACGCGUAGCUGGUCUGAGAGGAUGAUCAGCCACACUGGGACUGAGACACGGCCCAG
rnacentral:rRNA from 1 species